GCGGCGGACGGGUGAGUAAUGCCUAGGAAAUUGCCCUGAUGUGGGGGAUAACCAUUGGAAACGAUGGCUAAUACCGCAUGAUGCCUACGGGCCAAAGAGGGGGACCUUCGGGCCUCUCGCGUCAGGAUAUGCCUAGGUGGGAUUAGCUAGUUGGUGAGGUAAGGGCUCACCAAGGCGACGAUCCCUAGCUGGUCUGAGAGGAUGAUCAGCCACACUGGAACUGAGACACGGUCCAGACUCCUACGGGAGGCAGCAGUGGGGAAUAUUGCACAAUGGGCGCAAGCCUGAUGCAGCCAUGCCGCGUGUGUGAAGAAGGCCUUCGGGUUGUAAAGCACUUUCAGUCGUGAGGAAGGUAGUGUAGUUAAUAGCUGCAUUAUUUGACGUUAGCGACAGAAGAAGCACCGGCUAACUCCGUGCCAGCAGCCGCGGUAAUACGGAGGGUGCGAGCGUUAAUCGGAAUUACUGGGCGUAAAGCGCAUGCAGGUGGUUUGUUAAGUCAGAUGUGAAAGCCCGGGGCUCAACCUCGGAAUUGCAUUUGAAACUGGCAGACUAGAGUACUGUAGAGGGGGGUAGAAUUUCAGGUGUAGCGGUGAAAUGCGUAGAGAUCUGAAGGAAUACCGGUGGCGAAGGCGGCCCCCUGGACAGAUACUGACACUCAGAUGCGAAAGCGUGGGGAGCAAACAGGAUUAGAUACCCUGGUAGUCCACGCCGUAAACGAUGUCUACUUGGAGGUUGUGGCCUUGAGCCGUGGCUUUCGGAGCUAACGCGUUAAGUAGACCGCCUGGGGAGUACGGUCGCAAGAUUAAAACUCAAAUGAAUUGACGGGGGCCCGCACAAGCGGUGGAGCAUGUGGUUUAAUUCGAUGCAACGCGAAGAACCUUACCUACUCUUGACAUCCAGAGAACUUUCCAGAGAUGGAUUGGUGCCUUCGGGAACUCUGAGACAGGUGCUGCAUGGCUGUCGUCAGCUCGUGUUGUGAAAUGUUGGGUUAAGUCCCGCAACGAGCGCAACCCUUAUCCUUGUUUGCCAGCGAGUAAUGUCGGGAACUCCAGGGAGACUGCCGGUGAUAAACCGGAGGAAGGUGGGGACGACGUCAAGUCAUCAUGGCCCUUACGAGUAGGGCUACACACGUGCUACAAUGGCGCAUACAGAGGGCGGCCAACUUGCGAAAGUGAGCGAAUCCCAAAAAGUGCGUCGUAGUCCGGAUUGGAGUCUGCAACUCGACUCCAUGAAGUCGGAAUCGCUAGUAAUCGUGGAUCAGAAUGCCACGGUGAAUACGUUCCCGGGCCUUGUACACACCGCCCGUCACACCAUGGGAGUGGGCUGCAAAAGAAGUAGGUAGUUUA
rnacentral:rRNA from 1 species